AUUGGANAGAGUGUGNNCUCACGGGAAAGGCCCCCUGCGCCAGGGGGGGGAGGGCGUUUUUUGGGCCACCCGGGACUUGGCAGGGCACUCCUACUAAGUCAAAAACCGUGGCCUUCGGGCCCCACGGGGAAUAAGAAAAAGUAAAAAAAUCAAUGGGCCUUGCCCCGGCGAUGGUCCAUUCAAAUUUCUUCCCAACCAACUUUCGAUGUUAGGGAAGGGGCCAAACAUGUUUGCAACGGGAAACGGAGGGUAAGGGCUCGACCCCGGUAAAGGAGCCUGAGAAACGGCUACUACAUCCAAGGAAGGCGGCAGGGGGGCAAUUUACCCAACCCCAAUUCGGGGAGGUAGUGACAAUAAAUACUGAAACAGGGCUCUUUUGGGUCUUGGAAUUGGAAUGAGUACAAUUUAAAUCCCUUAACGAGGAACAAUUGGAGGGCAAAACUUGAACCACCUGGUUGAUCCUGCCAGUGGGGGGGAAGGUGGGUAAACAAGGUGGUUCCAGCCGGCGAGAGAAAAGGCCCUUACUGCGGGUGGCAGCCGGAACCAUUAAACCCAAAUUCGCCAGGAAGAACCCACAAUACCAACUAAAAGACUGUCUUUAUAUCCACCAUUUCCCGAGGGCAACCCUGUGAGUAUCUUCAGUUUGCCAGCCAUGCGUAAACGCCCCCAUCUGUCCGGUGUUGGCAUAAGUUAGAAAAAUACCAUACCGACUGCCUGCGCAUACAUAUUCUCCAGUAAUAGAGUCAAUAAUUUUCACCCCCUAUCGACAUCGGUGCGUGAGAAUUGUCCAAAAUACCUAGCAAUCAGACACUNAAUUUAGCGACCCCGUGACUUUAUGCACCUGCGAAAUAUACNAUUAUAACGGUAGUUUUGUGUUGCCGGGUAACA
rnacentral:misc_RNA from 1 species